UGGGGAAUAUUGCACAAUGGGGGAAACCCUGAUGCAGCGACGCCGCGUGGAGGAAGAAGGUCUUCGGAUUGUAAACUCCUGUUGUUGGGGAAGAUAAUGACGGUACCCAACAAGGAAGUGACGGCUAACUACGUGCCAGCAGCCGCGGUAAAACGUAGGUCACAAGCGUUGUCCGGAAUUACUGGGUGUAAAGGGAGCGCAGGCGGGAAGACAAGUUGGAAGUGAAAUCUAUGGGCUCAACCCAUAAACUGCUUUCAAAACUGUUUUUCUUGAGUAGUGCAGAGGUAGGCGGAAUUCCCGGUGUAGCGGUGGAAUGCGUAGAUAUCGGGAGGAACACCAGUGGCGAAGGCGGCCUACUGGGCACCAACUGACGCUGAGGCUCGAAAGUGUGGGUAGCAAACAGGA
rnacentral:rRNA from 1 species